ensembl:lncRNA
AUGGAUGCGCAGGACAAAGGGAGGAUUCGCAUCCCAGGCAGGAUGUGGCAUGAUGGUGGUGGGAUGUCAGCCCAGGAAGCAGGUAAGGGCAAGGAUGGGAGCAGGGGCCGUGUGUGUGUGAGAACCCAGCUGCUGCGUCUGCAGGGAGGGUCCUGUCUGAGCGGUGGUAGCCGUCCUGGCUCAGCUCAUCACUGCCAUCUGCUUUGCUUGCUCCAUGCGCAGGGCGGGUCUGGGCGGUCUGGAGCCUGGUGGGUGGCCUGCCUGCUGCACCCUGAGUGCUGCAGGGCCCCGCCCCUGGGGUGCCGAGAGCAAAUGAGCUCUGUGAGCUUAAACUUUUCCCCUGUUCUUGCCUCUUCCUUUUCCGAUGCUUCCUCUGCAGCUGAUCAGCCGGCAGGAGCUGCCAUGGGGCCCUGCUUAGCAGCCCCCCACCUCUGCUGGGCCUCGGGGCUGCUGGCCUUCCUCAGCCCCCUCCUCAGCAUCUGCAGCACCUUGGGCAAGGGCCCUGAAGCUCGUGGCUCCGGGGUUCUGGAUUCUGGACUCCACUUUCCUGUGAAGAGGACGCGAGGGGGCUCCGUGUCGUUCCAUGUGGUGCAGCAGCCAGGAUGGGCUCCUGGAGAGAAGCUGGAGGAGAUCUCGUGGGGCUUUGGCCCUGAGUCAGCGUACAGAGUCAUCCUGCUGGUCCACAGUGGGACAGCCUCUCCAACCUGGGUCAGCCUCGAGGACAAGUUCAAACCAAGGCUCCACAUGCCCAACAUGACGUCCCUUGUGAUUGAGAAUGUGACCUCACAGGACAGUGGGCAGUAUCGGGCUCAGAUCAGAUUCACUGGAGGACUUUUAUCUACCCAGGUUUUCCACCUCACUGUCUAUGAGCCAGUGCCUGCUCCUCAAAUCCUGGCUGAGUCACCGUCCAUCACAUCUGGCUGGUGCAACGUCACCCUGCAAUGCAGGGCCACAGGGGCCACAGAGCAGCUGAACGUGACCUGGGAGAGCACAGGCCCCCCCAGCGAGCUGAAGCAGGGAGGGGCACCAGGACCAGCCCCCAACUCCUGGACUCUGGCUGUGAGUCUACCUCGGAGUCAGCCCAAAGCCAGCCUCACCUGUGUGGUCAGCAACCAGGGGGACCAGAAGAGCGCCACCUUGGACCUGGGUGAUGUCUGUGUCCAAGAAACAGACUCGCAUGGACAGGCCAUUGCUUGCCUUGUGCAAGUAAUCCGGGGCACUCUUCUGGCUGUUCUGCUGAUCCUGGGAGCUGGAUUAUUCCUUUGGAGGACCCGUGGGAGGAAGAAGAAGGAGACUGGAAGAGGGGCAGCCCUGCAGUGGGACCGCAGGGGUGAUGGAGGUGGCAUCCACUCUGCACAGCUGAUGGAGGAGGAGACUCAGGAUGGCCAGGAGAAGGUGCCUCCCCAUAGGGUGCCUGCCUGACUGUACACGAGGCCAGUCCCCCAUUGCCUCUGCUGUGUCACCGGUGUGUGUCUUUUUGAGAGCACGAGACCCAGUGUGGGGAUACUGUGGAGGCAUUGACCGCGCUGGAGGAGCUGAGUUCUGGAUCCUGAGUUGGAAGAUGAUGGAAGCAAUGUGGGUGGUUGGGAACUGGCAAAGGAGUGGCCUGAAACUUCCUUUGCAGACCUUGCAUAGGGCUCCCUUGGGGGUGUUGGGCAGUGUGUGUGUGUGUGUGUGCGUGUGUGUGUGCGAUUGUGGUAGUGUCUACUGCACAUUGUGUACCUGGGCUGGAGCUCUUUUCCUUUGGCAUGUGUGCUAAUGUCACGCUGCCUCCGCCUCAGCUCGUGGCUUCCUGGGCAGUGGGAAGAGAAGUCUGUGCUGUCUCUGGCCCUUUCCAGAUGCGUGUCUCCCAGAGAACAACCCUGGGAAGCAGUCAGGAGUUUUCUUAGGAAAACAGCCUCAGCUCACCCUGAUCUCCAAUUCUGGCAGCUGGUGGUGAGAACAGGUGUGCAGUGUCACCGCACACCCUCUGGUGGGUGCUGCUGUGUCCUCUGGCGGGUAAUGCUAGGGGAAGGUGUGACCUGAUCAUCUUGGCCUCUCCACUUAGCUGCAGUGCCUGAGCCUGCUGGCCCCAAGCCCUAAUGCAGCCUUUUUGUUGCUCACUCUAACACUGCCCGGUUUGGCUCUGCGACUUCCAGUGACUUUGCUUGACCCAGAGGUCUGAACUGAGGAUUCUCCCCCUCGUGAUAUCCCUCCCCUCAGUGCCUGAGGACCUGAUGUAGCCCGUUUGCAUCCUGCUGUAUGGAUGCUCCUUUUCUGCAUGGGGGUCCUCACUUGCUUGGAUCCUCUUCCUCCUGCCUUUGGCCCUGGGGUUCGCAUCACAGUUAAGCUGACUGAUGAGCUAGGCUCCUGAGUCUUGAUUCUUCCAGUUCGGCUGAGCUUCCUCAGAUCUGACUCCAGAAAUCAAAUGUCUGAACAGGGUCCCUGCUAAGGGCUAUGAUCCAAUGCUUGUGACCUGCUGAUGGUGGAUGAGUGAGUGAGGGCAGAAUAGGGCUCUGUCUCCGACUUCUUGUUCUCAGACUAAGCAUAAAUCUGAUGAUGUGAAAGAUACCAUAUCCUCACUGACAGGUGACCAGUCAUAGCUGGGCAUCAACACCUAUCAGCCCAAUGUAAGCUGUGACCACCCAUUGACAGUUCCCACUACACCUAAAGCAGAAAAAAAUAAGGAAAAUAAAAAAUAAGGAAAAAAUUUUUAAAAAAGAGAA